rnacentral:rRNA from 1 species
AUUGACAGGAGUUAUCAGCUUGGUCUUUGGACUGGGUGUACUUGACUUCUUACAGUCUGCCAAUAGAAAAAAGUCCUAGUGGAAAAAACCAGAGGGAAGGUAGUCCUUCUCUUAUGUUUAUAGACCUUUGGAAAAUACACUGGGAUUGACUGAGGAAGGCAGUAGAUGCCACUAA